rnacentral:misc_RNA from 1 species
UCAAACUUGGUCAUUUAGAGGAAGUAAAAGUCAUAACAAGGUUUCUGUAGGUGAACCUGCAGAAGGAUCAUUAGAGGAUUUUAGAUCUUGGAUUCGUCCUUGAUCGACCCUUUUUUUACAUCCAAAACACCUGUGCAUGGUUGCUUGUUGGAAAACUCACGUUUUACGACACAACAACUUUUUAUUAAAACACUAUGGUUUUUGAACGUUUUUACAAUCAUAACAAAAUGAUAACUUUUGACAACGGAUCUCUUGGUUCUCCCAUCGAUGAAGAACGCAGC